rnacentral:lncRNA from 1 species
GAACUUGUUGGCCGGCGCGCAAAGAGGGCACUGAAGCGUGAAGCUGCUGAUAAGGCAGCCGCUGAGAAGCACCAGCAGCGUUUGGUUAGGAUGGGUCGGAAGUGAAUUGUGCUCGCAACAACCCUAAAGAUCAUCACCUCAUGAAUCGCGCACACCUGUACAGUAUUUUACUUCUCAUCCCCUCUCGUGAGCCGAAGAAGAAGGAGGAUGCUGUUCCUAAAGAACUUGUUGGCCGGCGUGCAAAGAGGGCACUGAAGCGUGAAGCUGCUGAUAAGGCGGCCGCUGAGAAGCACCAGCAGCGUUUGGUUAGGAUGGGUCGGAAGUGAGUUGUGCUCCUAGACAACCCUAAAGAUCAUCACCUCAUGAAUUGCGCACCCCUGUACAGUAUUUUAGUUCUCUUGUUUGUAAAAUAAUUGACAUAGUCAAUAUUCUGGAUUUACUGGUGUAAUGGGAUGGACUAUGUUCAUGUCCCUGUUGUUAUUUCCACAUAUUUAUAAUCCUUGACAAAGGGGAAAGAAAACUCCUUGUUUUCCCCAAUAAAUGUACAUUGUUAGGUGAAUUUCAUAGUUGUCUUAGAUUCUUGACAUUUAGUAACCUUUUUCAAUUCUCUUAUCUGCUUCAGAUAGCAUUGGAUGGAAGAUUCAAAAGGACCUAUAAAUAUGUUCCAUUUGUUU